rnacentral:lncRNA from 10 species
CAGCAAUUCUGUAACAAUCAUAACUAGAAUCUAGUUCUCAAGUUUUACCCAUUCAGACCUUGGUUCCUUCAGAUAUCGUACAUUCUAGCUCUGCUUGCAUAGUGUGAAAGAAAUUGGAUUGCUUACUGAAAAAUGAACCUGACCUGUCACAGCAAUUCUGGACUUACUUGGACUCCUGAUGUCAAUUCUGUUGUCAUAUGCAUUGAAGCUUCGCAAUGACAGGAGAUUAAACAAAUGGGAGGAGAAUUCCAGGAAAUGAAAAAGUCAUACGAAGAAGAGUUAUGUUCUACAGCCAAGCCCAAGUUAAAAAAUAAUCAACUGAACCUUCACAUUCUUUGAGUGCCUCUCUCGUUGGUCAUUAUACUAAAUUUAGCUCUAUCUACUUCCCAUUCUCCAACUGUUUACUCCCUCAUUCAAUGAUUCUGCUAUAUAGAGCGAAUAAUCUAAUGAUAAAAAGAGAGUGCUGGAAGGUUGCAUUGAACAGCAUAACUACAUCAAUGAAAUGCUUUGAAUUGUCUACUCAUCGUGGGAAAGUCAUCAAAAAGGAAAGAAAAAAAAGUAUCCAUUCAAAGUAACCCUGAAAGGUUAUUUUUAAGAGAAAAGGAGCAACCAGCUCAUUCCAAAGAGACUGUCUAAAGUAAACAGAAAUAUUAAUCUAAAUGUUUCUUUAAAAUGCAUUAUAGAAAACUGAUUCAUUAAAAAUGUUUCGUAAGAAUUCAAAGGACACGGAAUUUUGAGAAAUGUAGUAUUUUUACUUAAGUGCCUUUUUUCUACUUCUACCCCCCACCCCCACCACUGUCUAUUAUUUUAUAAACCAAUUGAUACAUAAGUAGUUUCUUGGGGGAUGAUAUAUUACUUACACAUUUCCUAUGUAGUAAACAUGUAUGUAUAUGUGUGUGGGUGUGUAUCUAACUACUUUGUUGGAGUGAUUCCUAUGGUUUGGAACUGCCGGGGCCAAGUUUAUGCAAAAAUCUACAUUUUUUGAGUAAACUCCCCGUGACUACAGUAAGUUUCCCCAGUAUUUGAGAAUUCUUCAUUUCCUAAAGCUGCACAAACAUCAGAUAUCAAUAUUUGUAAG